AGCACUAUUAAAAUGUGUAUACUUUUUUUUUUUUUUUUUUCCCAAAAAAAUAAACCUACAACUGCUGAUACCUUUUCUCGCAUGUCAGGUGGGCUGGGGCUGCAGCAGCCCUGCCUCUUCCCAGUCAUGCCUGCAUUGGAAGGGUCCUGGAAAAUCUCACAGAAUCAUAGAAUGGCCUGGGUUGAAAAGGACCACAAUGACCAUCGAGUUUCAACCCCCCUGCUAUGUGCCAGCCACCAGAGGAUCGCCAACCACCAGAGCAGGCUGCCCAGAGCCACUUCCAGCCUGGCCUUGAAUGCCUCCAGCGACGGGACAUCCACAACCUCCUUGGGCAACCUGUUCCAGUGCGUCACCACCCUCUGGGUGAAAAACUUCCUCCUAAUAUCUAACCUAAACCACCCCUGUCUCAGUUUAAGACCAUCCUCCUUGUCCUACCACUAUCCACCCUCAAAAACAGCCGUUCCCCUUCCAGUUUAUACGCUCCCUUCAAGUACUGGAAGGCCACAAUGAGGUCCCCCUGGAGCCUUCUCUUCUCCAAGCUAAGCAAGCCCAGUUCCCUCAACCUUUCCUCAUAGGAGAGGUGCUCCUGCCCUCUGAUCAUCUUAGUGGCCCUCCUCUGGACCCGCUCCAACAGCUCCACACCCUUCCUCUACUGGGGGCCUGUAGAGCAAAUAAGUAUACGGAUAUAAGAAACUAUCGCCUUUGAAAAGGAAUAAUCAGAGAUGAACAGGAAGCUUACCCGUGUCCUGGGCUCGCCAAAAGGGCUCCAAGAGGAGUGAUCUUCAGAGAGCAAUCCUUCCUCCGUGGCAGUCAGCCCUUAAAUGGGGUUUAGGAGAGGUGGAGCCUGGCUCCACCCCUUCCGGUCACACAGGUGGAGUUGCAGUUCAACAGGUCUCAUACAGGGCCCCACGCCUGGGUGCAGUACUCCAGAUGGGGCCUCACAAGAGCUGAGUAGAGGGGGACAACCACCUCCCUCUCCCUGCUGGCCACCUCUUUCUUAACGCAGCCCAGAACACACUUGGCCUUCCGGGCUGCCAGCACACACUGCUGGCUCACGUCCAGCUUCUAAAAUCACACAACGCUGGAAUGGUUUGUGUUGCAUGGCUCCCUGAAGAUCACAGAACCACUGGAUUUUUGUACGUUGGAAGUGUCCUUGAAGAUCACAGAACAAUAGGAUGGCUUGUGUUGAAAACGUCCCUGAAGAUCACAGCACAGUAGACUAUCCUUGGUACACUAUCAUUGGUAGAGGGCCUCGAGGAUUUGGCAGUACCUGAGAGGCAUCCCAACCCAGAGGAGAUGCUGGUCAUAACCUCCACCACCUCUCUGGGCAACCCGUCCCAGGGCUCCCCCACCCUUACCGUAAAGAAGGUCUUCCACAUGUUUGCAUGGAACUUCCUGUGCUCAAGUUCUAGGCCACUGCUCAUUGUCCUCCGCUACGCACCACCGAGAAGAGCCUGGCCUCAUCCAUUUUCCUGAUUAACACUCGCUUUGAAUCUCUAGUUAUAGGGUCUGAGACGAUGGAGAUCUGCCGGCUACUUUUCCAUACCAGCCCCCUCGCAUGGCAAAAUCUUCUGGUUCUUUCUACCAGUUGUGCAAACCCCAGAACUUGCUGGACUCACGGAUUCCACGCUACCCCACCUGAGCCGUGAUUCGUGUUCACGCGUUCCAGGCUGUCAGAGUCGGGGGGGAGAGAGAGGCAGCAGGCCUUUGGGGUCGGGUCUGGGGGGCUGUGGGGGCCACAGACUAUCACUGAGAUACGAAAUGUCUCUGCAGAGCUGGAAGGUCAGGAGCUGAGGAGAAUAUGAAGGGCUCCCAUCAUGCUGCUGAGUGCCCCUCCUCUCCUGGCCGUACGCUGAGGGCAGGUGGAGGCAGGGACAAGGGUCAGGAGCAAGGGCAGAAUGAUUUUUUGCUUUCUCAGUCUUCCUAGAAAGAAAGAAAGAAAAAAAAUCUAAAAUCUUUAAGAUAUGUGUGGGAUCUGUUGAGUCACGGCCUGAACCACGGAUUGAUCACCUGUGGAAAGGACCCAGUCAGCCCUGGAGCACAGGUGAAAGCAAUUCAUGUGUGCGAAUGGAAGGAGGGGAGCCUGGCUGCAGCUCUCUUAGAUCUCAUUUAAGGGCUGACUGCUGCUGGGGAGGAUCUUUGCCUGGUGGAUUUGCCACAAGGUUUCUUACAAUGACUAACAGUAGAAGGAAAUGUGCUCUGAAGGGGUGUGCUUGCAAGUCGGCUCAAGAGAAAUGAAAAUCGUUGUAGCGGGGACCCUGCCUGGGAGCAGAGCAUACCAAAUACGUUCUAUGCAAAGAAUCUCAUGUUGAAUAAUUUAGAAAUACCUUUUUGUUAGUGGUCAAGUAAAACAUGGCAACAGAGGGUAAUCUCAGGAAAAAGAGGGGAUAAAAACAUCUCUAUCAAGCCCAGACUUGAUGGGAAAGGAAGAGCUGAAACAGUGUGCGUGUCUGGGGGUGUUCAUCUUCUAGACUGCACCCAGAGAAGGAGAAUGAUUGUGAUGCUGCAGUCUCGGAACUCCAGUCAGUACACAAAUGGAAGGAUUUCUGGGCUGAGAUGAAUUUAUCUCCGCAGCUUCUAAUCUUUUGGAUUUUGUGUUCUAGUGCAGUGAAGCUUUUGGGCAUGAUUUAUCAUCACUAUAGCUAACACUGUAUGGGAAAAAACUGACUUUAGAUCUUACAUCAAAGCUUUUAACAAAGCUUGUUUCCCUGGAUUUUACUUGCUUUCCAUUGUCUCCACCUCUCUGGUGCCUCUUUAAAAUAUAUGCCUAAUCUGAAAGCUGAGUGCAAGAAAUAUUUGUCUGACUUGUUUGCUCCCAUUCGAAUCUUAUAAACACUAGUCUCUGUUGUGAAGGAGUCAUGCAUCAUUAAGAGUAAAUCUUUCUCGUACAAAAGCAAGAAAACAGAAGCAGUUCAAAUGUUGCUUCUUACAGCAGUACAGCAUCUCAGAACAGAGAAAAACACGG
ensembl:lncRNA